CGGCACGGGUGAGUAACACGUAUCCAACCUGCCGUCUACUCUUGGACAGCCUUCUGAAAGGAAGAUUAAUACAAGAUGGCAUCAUGAGUUCACAUGUUCACAUGAUUAAAGGUAUUCCGGUAGACGAUGGGGAUGCGUUCCAUUAGAUAGUAGGCGGGGUAACGGCCCACCUAGCCUUCGAUGGAUAGGGGUUCUGAGAGGAAGGUCCCCCACAUUGGAACUGAGACACGGUCCAA
rnacentral:rRNA from 1 species